GCCCCCGGCGGGUCCGCGCACCUGGGGCCGAGCCCGGCCCCCCAAGGUCCCGGGUCUAGGGACAGGGUCCCGCCAGACUCCGGGCCCGAUCCUUGACGCCCGCGUGCUAGAGCCUGCGGCGCGAGAACAGCGGCCACCGUGACCCGGCCUCCGGACCCGAGCUCGGCCCCAGGGGCAGCAAAGGAGGCCAGAAAAUCAGCAGCCCUAGCAGGAGCAGCCAGCGCGUCCAGCAGAGCAGCAGCGAUGGUGGCGGGAGCGGCAGCGCGCAGGGGACUGACCGCAAAGCUUCCAGUGAAGACAGUUUAUUGGGCAUCUGCCUAUGCCGGACAUUGUUCCAGGCCCUGGAGAGACAGUAAUCCGUAAGACAGACAAGGUCCCCGCUUUCAUGUAACUUACCUGAAGUGGGGGAGACAGAUAAUUAAAAGCUUGGAAGGCAAUGUCAAGUCCAAACGGGUGUAACUUUGAGUGCUGUGAUCCAUCUUGAGGAGUUUUCCUCCGCUUCCACAGGCCUCCCUUCAUCUGAUAAACCCAGGCACCUCCAAGAGCUUAUUUUGGCCCAGGGCUCAGUCCUGGCUUCAGCUGGCCACGGAGUCAAGACCAAUGGUGCCAUGCCAGUGAGCCCAGCUUCUAAGCUCUUGAGAGACCCCGUGCUCUGUUUCCCGCCCCCCAUGGCCUCCCUGCAGCGCUCAGGUGGCCAGGUCAGCAGCCGUCAUGUGCUGUUCACUGCAAGAUGACUGAGCUACCCCGCAAGAUGACUGAGUCCGACUGGGCCCUCCGCGGAGCCCCGCCCCAUCCACGUUCCUCCACAGAGGUUUCUCCCCAGCAGCCCCAGCGUCUCCCUGGCCAGCUGGCCAUCGGAGAAGGUCUGCUAAGGCAAAAGGGUCUCAGCUCAGGUUCUUUCUUCCUCUUAUGCACAUUGGUCAACCCACCCACCCCCCUCUCAAGGGGGCGUGACCUGAGGUGGCCUCUGCCCAGCCACAGAAGGCCACUGCCUCCAUCUCGUCAACAGACUUUCUUCUUUUUUUUUUUAAUAAAUUUAUUUUAUUUUAUUUAUUUAUUUUUGGCUGCGUUGGGCCUUCGUUGCUGCGUGCUGGCUUUCUCUAGUGGCGGCGAGCGGGGGGUCCU